rnacentral:lncRNA from 1 species
UGGACCUGCUGUCAUUAUGAUAUGCUAGUAGAGUAUUAGGUAUGUCUGGACCUGCUGUCAUUAUGAUACGCUAGUAGAGUAUUAGGUAUGUCUGGACCUGCUGUCAUUAUGAUACGCUAGUAGAGUAUUAGGUAUGUCUGGACCUGCUGUCAUUGUGAUCUGCUUGCAUGCAGGAGACAGAGCUGACCUCUACCUCAUAGAUACCAGAGAUCCAAAAGUGUUCUUCUACUAUCCCAUUAGGAAAAUCCUUUUUUGUUCCAGGGAGAACCAUUUUGGGUUCCACGUCAGAACCCUCUGUGGAAUGGGUUCUACACGGAACCCCAAAACAAUUCUACCUGGAACCAACAAGGGUUCUUGAAAGAGUUCUCUCCUUUGGGGACAGAUGAAUAACCCUUUUAUGUUCUAGAUGGCAUCUUUUGUUCUAAGAGUGUAGGGAAUCGGGUGCAAUUUGAAGAGCAUCAUAAACCCCAGAGGCUUUAUAAGAGGCUUAAUGACAAGUGGUUGUUUUCUCUGGAGACUAACCGCAGCUGGGUGCAGUGGGCAGGUGCUGUCCUAGCAGGGCAUAGGAGGUACGGUCUAUAAUACACUACAGUACAGCUCUCAGCUCAGAUAAUGGAAGCUGCCUGGUCCCGCUACUCUACAGGGAUUACAGCGGAUUAUGUUCCUGCUGUGUUUGCCUGUCAGACAUGUCCUUUUUUACUGCCCAUUUGAUUGUGCUGUAAAGUAGGACUUUAUUUUCUCCCGUCGUGUGUUGAAGAGACUGGACGUGACAAGGCUCCGAGAUUGUCCCAGGGAAAGCUGUUGUUCCAAGGCAUCUAAGUUCAAACACACAAAGAUUUCCUGUCACAGAAGUAUUGUGAUGCUAAUCUAGAUGUUAUGAAACAGUCCCUCUAUUCUAGAAGGAAGCCUCGAUGGUUUCUGCUUUUUGGGCUAUCUGUACUUUACUAUUCAUAUUUUUGUCAACUUUUACUUUUAUUUCACUGCAUUCCUAAAUAAAUAAUGUACUUUUUUUUUACUCCAUACAUUUUUCCCUGACACCCAAAAGUACUCGUUACAUUUUUGACAGGAAAAUGGUCCAAUUCACACACUUAUCAAGAGAACAUUCCCGGUCAUCCUUUCUGCCUCUGAUCUGGAGGACUCACUAAAUACAAAUGCUUUGUUUGUAAAUUAUGUCUGAGUGUUGGAGUGCGUCCCUGCUGUCCGUCAAAAAAAAGACGAGAACAUUUCGGGGCGGCAGGUAGACUAGUGGUUAGAGUGGAGGGGAGGCAGGUAGACUAGUGGUUAGAGUGGAGGGGCGGCAGGUAGUCUAGUGGUUAGAGUGGAGGGGCGGCAGGUAGUCUAGUGGUUAGAGUGGAGGGGCGGCAGGUAGCCUAGUGGUUAGAGUGGAGGGGAGGCAUGUAGCCUAGUGGUUAGAGUGGAGGGGCGGCAGGUAGCCUAGUGGUUAGAGUGGAGGGGCGGCAGGUAGCCUAGUGGUUAGAGUGGAGGGGCGGCAGGUUAGAGUGGAGGGGCGGCAGGUAACCUAGUGGUUAGAGUGGAGGGGCGGCAGGUAGCCUAGUGGUUAGAGUGGAGGGGCGGCAGGUAGCCUAGUGGUUAGAGUGGAGGGGCGGCAGGUUAGAGUGGAGGGGCGGCAGGUAACCUAGUGGUUAGAGUGGAGGGGCGGCAGGUAGCCUAGUGGUUAGAGUGGAGGGGCGGCAGGUAGCCUAGUGGUUAGAGUGGAGGGGUGGCAGGUAGCCUAGUGGUUAGAGCGGAGGGCCAGUAACCAAAAGGUUGCAAGAUCGAAUCCCCGAGCUGACAAGGUAAAAAUCUGUCAUCCUGAACAAGGCAGUUAACCCGAAAAUAAGAAUUUGUUCUUAACUGACUUGCCAAGUUAAAUAAAGGUGAAAUACAUUAUUUUUUUUUAUGAUACUGAAGUACAUUUUAGCAAUUCCAUUUACUUUUGAUACUUCAGUAUAUAUAAAACCAAAUACUUUUAGACUUUUACUCAAGUAGUAUUUUACUGGGUGACUUUCACUUUUACUUGAGUAAUUUUCUAUGAAGGUAUCUUUACAAUUGAGGUACUUUUUCCACCACUGGAUGAAAUUGUCCUGUUUGGCUUUACAGUGGAGUUGUUAAUACCAGACACAGACUUGGGACCAGGCUAGCCAAAGGAGCAACACUUCACGUUAAGUUGCCCUUCUGUCAAACUACAACUCUCGCUGAUAAACAAAUAGUAUUCAGCUGGACGGAUAAGGUUCAUGAAACAAUGGUUCCAUUUUAAAGGGAAUGCGCCAAGUUCUAGACAUUUCUAUAUUGACACAUGGCAAAUAUUUUAAGAAGCUUCUGGGCCGUGACAGAGGUAGCAUGAAUGUUGAGAUGACACACACAUAAAAGAGAUCUAUCAGAAUGUGACACUAACCAACAGCAGUAUUAAUGUUCCGGGCCGCUGUAUAAUUCAUUGUGUUUUCACCGUGUUUUGGAAUAUUGGUGAAAUGGAACAAAGACUCUUUAUUCCAGGCUAGGCCCAAAUGACACUCUAUUCACCUAUGUAGUGCACUAUACAGAGAAUAGGGUUCCAUUUGGGACGCGUUCUAGGUUGUUCCACUGUCCACAAGGACACGGCAGAUUACUCGGGGCCGGGGCCGGGGCCCAGCCAUGUAAACACAGGUGUGUCACUUCAGUUCAGCCAGUUGUUAUCGUUAAACUUGAUCUAGAUUCUAAUGUUGUUGGACUCAAUACUUGGGACUGGAUUGUGUAUUUAUAUGUAUUUAAGCAUUUCAAAUAUGAUGAAUCUCAUUAUUACCAGGUAAAUGUGUUAACAGUAUAUUGUUUCUAUGGUGGAAGCUCUAGUCUCGAUCUCAGUGUUUUCUGAUCGGAUGAAUUGAGUUGUUUUUAUAUAUUUCAAAAAGAGAUAAAACAGAAGAUUUUCUGCUGAUUUUUAAAAACAGUCCUAUGCUGUUUCUCUGGUGCGUAGGAGCUCUACUCUUCGUGGCAGGAUCGAGCUCUGCUCUAGUCUCUCUGGUGUUGAUGGCAUCGUGUCAGUGCACGUCAACAUUCACCAUCUCCUCUGGGAUCGCUGCCAAUCACAUAAAUCCUCCUCACUUUAAUUCUCAGUACAUUUCCACAUGAAUGUCGCUGCUGACUGCUUGACUAAUAGGCCUUAGGCUAUUCAUAACAGAUUUAUUAACACAUUCGUAUCACGUUUAUUAACACAUUCGUAUCACGUUUAUUAACACAUUCAUAACACAUUAACACAUUCAUAACACAUUAACACAUUCAUAACACAUUAACACAUUCAUAACACAUUAACACAUUCAUAACACAUUAACACAUUCAUAACACAUUAACGCAUUCAUAACACAUUAACGCAUUUAUUAACACAUUUAUUAACACAUUAACACAUUCAUAACACAUUAACACAUUCAUAACACAUUAACACAUUCAUAACACAUUUAUUAACACAUUCAUAACACAUUAACACAUUCAUAACACAUUCAUAACACAUUAACACAUUCAUAACACAUUAACACAUUUAUUAACACUAACACAUUCAUAACACAUUAACACAUGCAUAACACAUUAACACAUUCAUAACACAUUAACACUAACACAUUCAUAACACAUUAACACAUUUAUUAACACAUUAACACAUUCAUAACACAUUAACACAUUUAUUAACACAUUAACACAUUCAUAACACAUUAACACAUUUAUUAACACAUUCUCUUUAUGAACUAUGAGUUUGACCCCAAAAGAAUUGAGAUGUUUUGAUGUCAGUCUUUAAAAUUAAGGAGAAUGUAUACACUGAGUUUACAAAACAUUAGGAACACCUCUUUCCAUGACACAGAACACGUGUCAAAACAUUAGGAACACCUCUUUCCAUGACACAAAACACGUGUAAAACUCGUUCCAUGGAGGGCGGAGUGUUUGCGGGUUUUCACUCCAUCCUUGUACUUAAUUGAUGAAUUCAGGUCACUAAUUAGUAAGGAACUCCCCUCACCUGGUUGGCUAGGUCUCCCCUCACCUGGUUGUCUAGGUCUCAGUAAGGAACUCUCCUCACCUGGUUGUCUAGGUCUCCCCUCACCUGGUUGUCUAGGUCUCAGUAAGGAACUCUCCUCACCUGGUUGUCUAGGUCUCUCCUCACCUGGUUGUCUAGGUCUCAGUAAGGAACUCCCCUCACCUGGUUGUCUAGGUCUCAGUAAGGAACUCUCCUCACCUGGUUGUCUAGGUCUCAGUAAGGAACUCCCCUCACCUGGUUGUCUAGGUCUCAGUGAGGAACUCUCCUCACCUGGUUGGCUAGGUCUCAGUAAGGAACUCCCCUCACCUGGUUGUCUAGGUCUCAGUAAGGAACUCUCCUCACCUGGUUGUCUAGGUCUCAGUAAGGAACUCCCCUCACCUGGUUGUCUAGGUCUCAGUAAGGAACUCUCCUCACCUGGUUGUCUAGGUCUCAGUAAGGAACUCCCCUCACCUGGUUGUCUAGGUCUCAGUGAGGAACUCUCCUCACCUGGUUGUCUAGGUCUCAGUAAGGAACUCCCCUCACCUGGUUGUCUAGGUCUCAGUAAGGAACUCCCCUCACCUGGUUGGCUAGUUCUUAUUUGAAAGGAAAAACCAAAAACCCGCAGACCCUCGAUCCUCCGUGGAAUGAGUUUGACACCGCUUGAUGUAGCUUGGUCUAUAUCUGUACUUCAUUAAACCAGUUGUAGCUUGGUCUAUAUCUGUACUUCAUUAAACCAGUUGUAGCUUGGUCUAUAUCUAUACUUCAUUAAACCAGUUGUAGCUUGGUCUAUAUCUGUACUUCAUUAAUCCAGUUGUAGCUUGGUCUAUAUCUGUACUUCAUUAAACCAGUUGUAGCUUGGUCUAUAUCUGUACUUCAUUAAACCAGUUGUAGCUUGGUCUAUAUCUGUACUUCAUUAAACCAGUUGUAGCUUGGUCUAUAUCUG